rnacentral:rRNA from 1 species
GGCCCAGACUCCUACGGGAGGCAGCAGUGGGGGAUAUUGCACAAUGGGGGGAACCCUGAUGCAGCGACGCCGCGUGGGUGAAGGAGCGUUUCGGCGCGUAAAGCCCUAUCGGCAGGGAAGAAGGAGGACGGUACCUGACUAAGAAGCCCCGGCUAACUACGGGCCAGCAGCCGCGGGAAUACGUAGGGGGCAAGCGUUAUCCGGAUUUACUGGGUGUAAAGGGAGCGCAGACGGCAGUGCAAGUCUGGAGUGAAAGCCCGGGGCCCAACCCCGGGACUGCUCUGGAAACUGUACGGCUAGAGUACGGGAGGGGCAGGCGGAAUUCCUAGUGUAGCGGUGAAAUGUGUAGAUAUUAGGAGGAACACCGGCGGCGAAGGCGGCCUGCUGGACCGAAACUGACGUUGAGGCUCGAAAGCGUGGGGAGCAAACAGGAUUAGAUACCCGAGUA